rnacentral:rRNA from 1 species
CCCAAGAACAAAAGACUUAGUCCUAACCUUAUAGUUAACUUUUGCUCAACAUAU